rnacentral:lncRNA from 1 species
UCCCCCUGGAGCUCAUUACUGUAGUCGGUGAGAUAAGCAGGGAAGGAGCUGUUCAGUUGGCUCCCAGGGGAGGGAGAAAACGGAAAAGGAAAAAAAAAAAAAUGAAAAGCCCACAAGAAGUACAGUUUAGCUAUUUUUUAAAUUAUCAACUCUAUAGAUCCAUCUAUAGAGAUGAAGGAAGAAACCUUGCCCCUUCUGUGGUCCCCAGAAGCUAUUUAUUUCAGCUGAUAGCCCACUACUAUUGCUCAAACCAUGAGCUCUUUGGAGGAUGUUUCCCAAUGGUGGAAUCAGUACAGCUUAGGAAAAGGGGAGAACACAGGCUACAUUGAGGUGAUGGGACAGAAGGGAGGGGAGGGGCCAUGGUGCCCACCAGCCGCACACUGUACUUCAGAAUGGAAAGCUACCAGGGCAGCCAUCACAACCCAGGGAAGAAGCAUCCUUCACUUCUGAAGUGCUGGGUUUGUUUUAGUAAUGAAAGUCACAGCUCUGAGGAUACAUCUCUGAAAAAAGGGACCAGGAAGGGAAAAUCUAUUCCACUCAUCGCAGAUUUUCCCCAUCCUUGAGAUUGUGCAUACCUCUCCUCCUACUAAAGCUUUUUCUGUUUCUCUCAACAAGCUUGUUUUGCUCAUGCGUUUGUGAUGUUUGCGGUCAAAGAAAGGGAUUUUGUAUUUUGGUCAUGAGUUGUGUGCUUUUCCACCUCUGAACAUGGUCUCUUUUCUUACCAUCUUUUUUCUCACAUUUAUUUUUCAAUAGGUAUGUAGUGAGAUCUGCUCAUUUUGGUGCACUGUUCUGUGUGUUUGGACAGCUGCAGUGUUGUGUAACAUCACUACAGUCAAGAUACAGAAUGAUUCCUUUACUUCUUCCUCCCUUCCCUGCCCUGCCUCACACUCACAUUUUGUACCAACCCUUUACAGGGAAGGCUUCCCUAGUCUCUACAUCUGGCAGUGACUAAUCUGUCCUCUAUUCCUAUGGUUAGCCUUUGCCAGAAUGUCACAUCAGUGGAAUUAUACAGCAUGUGGCCUAUGAGUCUGGCUUCUUUUAAUUCACACAAUGCAGCUAAGAUUCAUCCAUGCUGUAGCAAGUAUCAGUACUUUGUUCCCUUUUUAUUACUUAGUAUUCCAUCAUAUGGAUAGACUACUGUUUGUUGAUCCAUGCUCAAGAAGAAGGACAUUGGGGUCAUUUGCUUUUGGAGGUGGCUAUAGAAAAACCUGUCAUAAACAUUAGUGUAAAGAUUUGUAUGUGAACUCAGUUUUCCUUUCACUUGAAUACAUAUCUUGGAGUGGCCAUGUAAACUUUUAUUGAGUGAAUUAAUGAAUGAAUUGACUGACAUGAUGAUAUUUGUUCUCCUUAGGCAGCUCACAAUUUCCAUAUGCCAUCAAUGGGCUGAGGCUUAUAUUUCCAAUGCCUAUUUUGCAUUCUAAUCUAGGAUCAUUAACCUCAUAUUUCCACCUGAAACUUCACUUCAAGUAUGAGAAUGAUUUGAUGAGGGGUUGAAUUUUUUUUGUUCACAGAACUUCAAGGGCAUAAAGCUCUUGAUCCUUUUUUUUGCUCACGUGGGCUGAACAAGUCUGAUGUCCCUUUGAUGAAAGGGUGAGGAGAGCAGCACGCUAAAGUCUGUCUCAACGCCAGAGACCCCCAGAUCUUCCUUCAAGGAUGUGGCCACCUAAUUCAUUCAGAUUUUCAAUCCUGGAGGCUUCUUAUACCCACUGUAUAGUCAAGGCAAGAGUAGCCUGUGAGUCUCUCGUUCCAGUGUCUUAAAAUAGAAAGAAGGAUUAUUUGGUGCCUUCUAUCAAAGGAUGUCACUGAACUCUUACUAUAUAUAGUACCAUCAACUCUAAAUCAGAUGCCGUUGUGCAUGAGUCCAGUUCCUCUAUGAAUCAUGUACUAGGCUGCACUAGGCAGAGCUGUCUAAAUAUAUUGCUAAAUUUUGUUCUUUUGAAACAUUUUUCCACUAAGCAGUCCCAUAAGGAUGUGGUUUAUUGCUGUGAGAAUGCAUCAAAAUACUUUAAAUUAGGGCCUGGGGUGGGGGAGGGAUGGAUCGGCAGUUUGAGAUUAGCAGAUGCAAACUGUUAUAUAUAGGAUGGAUAAACAAGGCCAUACUAUAUAGCACAGGGAAUUAAAUUCAAUAUCCUAUAAUAAAUCAUAAUAGAAAAUAAUAUGCAAAAGAAUACAUAUAGACAUACACAUAUAUGUAAAACUGAAUCACUUUGUUGUAAUCAGUAACUAACACAACAUUGUAAAUCAACUAUAUAUCAAUAAAAAAUAAAAAAUAAAUCAUAUUGAAUGUAAUUUAUAAUAUAUCAAUUUGAAGUGAAACAUACAUUAUGUAUUAAAUCUACAUUAUCCCUUCUUGUGAGUAGUCCCAAUUCUUUUCAUAGCAUGUUGAGACAAGCCAAACUUUAAAAUGAACCAUCAAGUUACCUUAGUGAUAAUAGUUUUCAUUUGUGUCCAUCACAAUUGUGAUCAUCAGGAAAUCAAAUGAUGUGUGAGAAGCAGCCUAAUGUUAGCACUGAUACAGAGAACAGAGUUUAGAAAUUUUAUCACCAUUAUCUUCAAAUAGCUCAGUUGUUCUUAUCUAUUUUUUAAGUUAUAGACACCUUUGAAAACCCAAUGAAAACUAUUUUUAGAAAAAAAUCAUCAACACCUACAUAAACAAAAUUUUACCUACAGUCUCAGUGAGGUGACAGAAUAAAUGAAGUCCAUCUACAAAUUCCUAAAUGAUUCAUGCUCAUGUUAAGAAUGCCUGAAAAAAGCUUUUCUUGCACACACAUACGUACUUGACUUGUUGGAAGAGCUUGUAUUUUAAAAAGUUUCCAUUGUGGUGCAGCAGAAACGAAUCCAACCAGGAACCAUGAGGUUGUGGGUUCGAUAUUUGGCCUAGCUCAGUGGGUUAAGGAUCCAGUGUUGCCAUGAGCUUCAGUACAGGUUGAAGAUGCGGCUCAGAUCCGGCAUAGCUGUGGCUGUGGCAUAAGCCGGCAGCUACAGCUCCAGUUAGACCCUGGGAACCUCCAUAUGCCGCAGGUGCAGCCCUAAAG